rnacentral:lncRNA from 1 species
AGAUUUGGUUCAAAAUUUUUUAUUUCUGUGCAUGUCUUCUCUUUCCAGACAUUGAACUUCUUGAGGCUGACGCUGUAUCUCUGUGAGGUUCUGGGGGGUUGGGCAGGGGCAGUAGAUUAAAAAGAUGAGUUGGACUAGAGCUUUGAAUUCCGCAUUGUUGGGGAUUGGAGUGGGGACAGGGAAGGGCAAGGAAGGAGAGAUUGCAAAGGGGCACAGGGAAACUUUUGGGAGUGGAGAACAUUCUCAUUACCUUGAUUUGUGAUGAUACGUUCACGGGUGUGUACCUACGUCAGAACUUAUCCAAUUGUACACUUCAAGUAUGUGUGGUUUAUUAUAUGUCAAUUAUACCUCAAUAAGUUCAUUAAAAAUUUCAUAUUGUUCAAGUCCUUGAUAAAGAGCUCUUUCUAGAAAUAAGACGAUGGGACCAAGAAUGCAUACCUAAAUAUGCCAGCAGGUAAAGGCUUUGAAGAUGCUGGACUUAUGCCUGAAAGGCCAGGAGAAUUUUACUUGGUUUGUAUCGUUCAGAGUGGUUCCUGUGGGCUAUACAGUUGGGCAGCCACCUAGAUUCUAGCAGUUUUAGUAAGUGCUUUCUUGAUUUUAUUCAAAUGUCUCAGUAUUCCCCAACCACCCAACCAGGCUCUCAUGUUGACUUUCAGCCAUUAUGACAUGUUAUCGUCAAUCAUCAGGUCCUUUUAGCAAGAGGGCCUAUGUCAUGGCCACCUGUCUUCAUAUAUAAAGGGAGUAUGAGUGGGCUGCUUUGGACAAAUGGACUUGGAGUGAGGGAGGGGGAACCAAAAGAGGCUGCUGUUACAGCAAGAACCCCGCUCCUGGCCAGAGUUGGGGGAUGUGAGAAGAUGGUGAAAUCCCUUAGAUGUAAGUGUUCAACAUGCCAUCUGAAGGAUUUACCAAAGACACAAAAAGCAAAGAAGUUAUGCCAGAACAGGAACAGGAAGACAAGUCAGCAGCAAAUGUCAGUGCUCUGGUUGAAGCCGCUGCUUGAAUCCAUGUUUUUCCACAUCGUGUUUUCUUCCAUGGCCAGUGAAAAGAAAAACCUCUUUUGGUGCAGGCCCAAGACCACCAUAAUCAUCAUUGAUUUUUCCUCUCUGCCUCAGGUCUCUAAAUAAAGUUCCUCUCCUUUCACUGACAAAUGGUGUAUUUUGUGUGUUUUUGUUUCCCUAGAGAAUGGCUUGUGGCAACCUGGAGUACUCCUGCCUCUUUUCACGUAAUAGGAUGAGUGGGAUAUCAUGGGUAGAGAGAGAACCAAGUGAGUCAGAAGGAAACACGUAAUUUUUUCCUUUGUUCCUGUUCUAGAGAUUUGGUAAUGAAAUGUAUGAUUGGGUUUUUGUUUGGGAUGGGUUGAGAUGCUUUCUGGGUAUGAAAAGUGCUUACUUGGUUUGAGAGACCUUCUAAACCGGCUGGGCCAGGGGCCCGACAACCAGGAAACCUAUAACCAGAUCUCCCUCAGCUUACACCUAUAGCUUCAUUUGUUGGUAAUUCGUAAUGAAGAUGCCCACUUCUCUAGAAACAAGCCCAGAUCCUGUCAGCAUGAAGCUCAGGAAUUGUAAACAUAAAGAAGGGCAAAAACAUAGCAUAGCCCUAGAAUGGUAGGUGUGCGUUUGGAACUUUUUAAAGGACAUCCUCAAACUUCUCCCAAUAGUGUUCUCUAGAUACAAUGUAGUUUGGGGCUCUUUGGGGUCAAAUCAUUCUGACAGCUGUGUGGAAUCCCUUGUGUAAUUGAACCUGAACCUUGUGUAAUUCACAUAAAGGUACCAGGUCAUCACCUACCCCAACCAUCGCCAUUAAACCGCAAAAGUUCUGCUAAACCACCGGCCUUUCCUCAGGCAUCAUAAAUGCAGUCUUCAAAAAUCACACGCUAGCAAGGCCAAGGUGAAUCCUUAAGGUUAAGGUCUCAAACCUCAAUCUUCCUAUCUUCUUUGGAACAUGAAAGAUGCAGAAACUGAAGAAGAGGCAGGAACUGGCUUUCCAUUAUUCAGCCAACUUAGGUAGACCCCAGGGUUUUGUCGUAUUUCCUAGAUGUCGAUGAGCUGCUUGUUCCCAGAGAAGCAUGAGUCUCUUUGAUGGCCGCUUUUGUGCUUGGGUAGUCAUAUUUGGUCCUCGUGUAGG